GUAUACCUACGGGGCGCAGCAGUGGGGAGUAUUGGGCAAUGGGCGCAAGCCUGACCCAGCAACGCCGCGUGAAGGAAAAAGGCUUUCGGGUUGUAAACUUCUUUUCUCAGGGACGAAGCAAGUGACGGUACCUGAGGAAUAAGCCACGGCUAACUACGUGCCAGCAGCCGCGGUAAUACGUAGGUGGCAAGCGUUAUCCGGAUUUACUGGGUGUAAAGGGCGUGUAGGCGGGAAAGCAAGUCAGAUGUGAAAACCACGGGCUCAACCUGUGGCCUGCAUUUGAAACUGUUUUUCUUGAAUACUGG
rnacentral:rRNA from 1 species